rnacentral:rRNA from 1 species
AUUGAACGCUGGCGGCAGGCUUAACACAUGCAAGUCGAGCGAGCGGCGGACGGGUGAGUAAUGUCUGGGAAACUGCCUGAUGGAGGGGGAUAACUACUGGAAACGGUAGCUAAUACCGCAUACCAUCAGAUGUGCCCAGAUGGGAUUAGCUAGUAGGUGGGGUAAUGGGUCACCUCGGCGACGGUCCCUAGCUGGUACGAGGGGAUUACCAGCCACACGGGAACUGACACACGGUCCAGACUCAUACGGAAGGCAGCAGUGGGGAAUAUAGCACAAUGGGCUCAAGCCGGAUGCAGCCAUGCCGCGUGAGUGAAGAAGGCCUUCGGGUUGUAAAGCACUUGCAGCGAGGAGGAGUUACUCGCAGAAGAAGCACCGGCUAACUCCGUGCCAGCAGCCGCGGUAAUAC